rnacentral:rRNA from 1 species
UGGGGAAUAUUGGACAAUGGGCGAAAGCCUGAUCCAGCAAUGCCGCGUGAGUGAUGAAGGCCUUAGGGUUGUAAAGCUCUUUCGGCGGGGACGAUGAUGACGGUACCCGCAGAAGAAGCCCCGGCUCACUUCGUGCCAGCAGCCGCGGUAAUACGAAGGGGGCUAGCGUUGUUCGGAAUUACUGGGCGUAAAGGGCGCGUAGGCGGUUCGUUAAGUUAGGCGUGAAAGGCCUGGGCUCAACCCGGGAACUGCGCUUAAUACUGGCGAGCUUGAGUUCGGAAGAGGGUAGUGGAAUUCCCAGUGUAGAGGUGAAAUUCGUAGAUAUUGGGAAGAACACCGGUGGCGAAGGCGGCUACCUGGUCCGAUACUGACGCUGAGGCGCGAAAGCGUGGGGAGCAAACAGG